CAACCGACUUUUUUCCACAAGGGACUUUUCGUUAAAUAACUUGGCAGCCUUUUCAUCGCGAACUGAAAAAAUAAUGAGUAAUACGAAUUAGAUUUCUAAAUAAUGACCCAAAUGACUCCGCACCGAUCCCACUCGGCUGAAAAAGAGGUAACGUGUGCAAUAUGACUUCUGGAAACUCUGAAUUAGACACGAUAUGAUGAAAUGCUUGGUUUUUUUCUGCCUGGCCUUGAUGUUCAUUUCCAUGAUCGUCCUUGACAUCCAUGCGUGGGAGGACUACCCGUUAUGCAAUCAUAGGGGGCAUCGCUGCGGAGUGAACAUACCCUACAAGAUCCCGGGCUGGGAAACGAACGUCCGCAAGCAGAAUUGUUGCCACCCUCUUUGGUGCGACGAAAACCUUCACAUUUGCAGGGACGGCUAGGGGUGCUGUCUGCAUACUGUACCACAACGUUUUUUUUCAAAUAAAAUUGUUUUUGUUUGACACAAAA